UCGGAGUCGGCAGCCGCCGCCCUCGUCUCCCGCGGGAUCGGACGCAAUUCGUCAAGGUUCCAAGUGAUCAGAAGCUACCAUCUCUUUAUCCGCUCGACAGUAUAGUCAAGAAUAUUGGAAAAUAUUAUCACUGUAUUGAACAGUUAUUGCUUGACAAUAUAGUCUCUCCAUACUUUUUCUUACUCCUGGAUAAGUUUCUCUUUAUGAAUGUACACGUGAGUUCUUGUGAUAAACCAUAUUCAUGACAAAGAUAAUGAACCAGUUUAUUUUUAUGA